UACGUAGGUGGCAAGCGUUGUCCGGAUUUAUUGGGUUUAAAGGGUGCGUAGGCGGUUUAAUAAGUCAGUGGUGAAAUACGGCAGCUCAACUGUCGAGGUGCCAUUGAUACUGUUGGACUUGAGUACAGACGAGGUAGGCGGAAUUGACGGUGUAGCGGUGAAAUGCUUAGAUAUCGUCAAGAACACCGAUAGCGAAGGCAGCUUACUAGGCUGUAACUGACGCUGAGGCACGAAAGUGUGGGGAUCAAACCGG
rnacentral:rRNA from 1 species